rnacentral:rRNA from 1 species
CCUACGGGAGGCAGCAGUGGGGGAUAUUGCACAAUGGGGGGAACCCUGAUGCAGCGACGCCGCGUGGGUGCAGAAGCGCCUCGGCGCGUAAAGCCCUGUCUGCAGGGGAGAAACUGACGGUACCUGAAGCAGAAGCCACGGCUAACUACGUGACAGCAGCCGCGGUAAUACGUAGGGGGCAGGCGUUAUCCGGAUUUACUGGGUGUAAAGGGGGCGCAGACGGCGAUGCAAGCCAGGAGUGAAGGCCCGGGGCCCAACCACGAGACUGCUCUUGAAACUGCGUGGCUGGAGUGCAGGAGGGGCAGGCGGAAUUCCUGGUGUAGCGGUGAAAUGCGUAGAUAUCAGGAGGAACACCGGUUGCGAAGGCGGCCUGCUGGACUGCAACUGACGUUGAGGCCCGAAAGCGUGGGGAGCAAACAGGAUUAGAUACCCGAGUAGUC